rnacentral:rRNA from 1 species
GAUGAACGCUGGCGGCGUGCUUAAUACAUGCAAGUCGAGCGAACGGCCGCGAAGCUUGGCUCCUUGCUGUUUGAGGGGGGAGGGGGAGUGAAACGUGGAAAAAACCUCUAUAAGACUGGGAUAACUCAGUGGAAACGUAGUUCUAACACGGCAAUCUUUUUAACCGCAUGAUCCAAAAGAGAAAGAAGGUCUUGCUGACACUUAUACUUGCAUCCGCGCUGCAUUAGCUAGUUGGUAAGGUAACGGCUUACCAAGGCAACGAUGGAUAGCCGACUUGAGAGGUGGACCGGCCACACUGGAACUGAGCCACGGUCCAGACUCCAACGGGAGGCAGCAUUAGGGAAUCUCCGGCAUGGGGCGAAAGCCGGACGGAGCAAGGCGGCGUGAGGGAGGAAGGUCUUCGGAUCUUAAACCUCGUUUAUCAGGGAAGAACAUAUGUGUAAGAAACUGGGCACAUCUUGACGGUACCGAAUCAGAAAGCCACGGCUAACUACGUG